rnacentral:lncRNA from 1 species
UUAAUUAUGGCUUUUUGUUGUUACUAGUUUUUACUUUUUGACACAAUCAUUAACAGUUUUUUGUGAAAACAAGUAAUAUUUUUCAUUUUAGUACAACACAUGUAAUAAUAGUUCUAAUAUUCCUCAUCUAAACCCAAAGACCUUUCAAGUAAAAAUAGGCCUGGAUUCGUAUGCUCUUGUGCAGUCAAAAUAAUGACUUUUGGAUCCAAUCUCUUCAUACGUUCUUUUUCAUCAAAUUAACUACUUGGAUUUCAUAAAAAAUUAAGGUAACAUUUAAUUAUGGUCCAUACCAGGCUCAUGUUAAGGACCGUUUGGGUUUAAAUGGGAACUUUGGGUUGCAUGUUAGCAUUUACUAAUAUGCAGGCCAAACCUAGCUUUUGGCAAAAUAUGUGACACUACAAUAUCUUUUUAAUAUCUGAAUUGUUGGAAGAAAAGAGGUUUUUGUGGCUAAUUAGUGAAAAAUAACUAAUGUUUUUCUUAUUUGUAAAUCCUGCUAAGCUGAUAUUUGGCCCAAAAGUUUACAUAGUGAAUAGUUUCCUGUUAUUUGACUUCACUAUUCAGUUUUCUAAUUAAACAUCUGUGUGCAAAAUUCUUGCACUGAGAUCUUUUUUCAGGCUCAAUUAAAGAUGUCCUAAAGUUCUUUAGCUAAUUUUACUAGCGGCAAGUAUAAAUAGUAAUACUGUACUAAAUUUUUUAAGAAGCUUUUAUUUUUUUCUGCAGGGGAGGAUUUGAACAAAACAGGACAAGAGGUUUCUUCAAAAUUCACAAUGUCCUGAUUCAUGAUCAUAUUGAAUUGGAAGAGGGUCUUGACUGAGGCUUGGUGGAAAAAUAUGACAUUUUCGUUAAAGACAAAAUUAAAUUGCAUAUCUGGGCUGCGUCCUUUUCUGUGGUCCCGUUUCUCCGUGACUCAUAAAAAACCUGUGGAGGAUCACGCCCCUACUGUAUGGUAUGUAUGAAAAUAACAUGUACCGAAGUUUGGAGGGCUCUGAUCAAAAGGGGACGUAGGGAUCCCCAUAGUUCGAUAACAUCAUUAGAGGGCUCUGUCGAUACCCUCUUCAUGUGAAUGUGUUGAACAUUGUCAAUAAUAAAUUUUCUCUAAUAAUUUUUAA